GCCACUCUUUCUCUCCUUUCCAUUGUAGGCUGCAUGGUGUGGCUGCAAAGUACGCACAGCUUUUUUUCUUUUGAAGCAGCUUAGAGGAUGGUAUAUGGUUUCAUUUAUUCCUGAAGAGCCCAAAAGGGCCCUCGAGUCUCUGAGCUAUAUUCACACCAUGAAAACGCACGUGUGAGAAACUUCCACAACAGGAUCAGUAAUUAUUUUAGCUGUCCUUUGGGCUUUGCCACAUGUCCAAAAGGCACUCGUGCAAAGUAUUUUCUAUCAAUAUUUCAUCAUAAGAAGUCGGUGCAAAGACUUUGAGUCUCGCUUUGCUGGCGCAGAUCUUUUUGAAUAAAAACUCUCCGGUGCCCUCACCCCACCAAAAUAACCCGUGUUGUCUCCGGAGCUGCCGCGUAGUGCCACGUGGUCGGCUGACAGCAGCUGCAGCAACAGGCAAGACCAAGCAAUGGGAAAACGGGACAGUUAGAAGGCAAGAGGGUAUUUGGCACAUUUAUCCACUGUCUGCUCCUUGCAAAGCUCUUCCAGAGCCUGACUGUAGCUCUGACUGUCACACUGUGUUUGAAGACCAGGUCCAAGAAAUGACUCGGGGCCCGUCUGUGUUGCCAAAUAACUGCGCUCGGUUGUUUGCUCCUGGUCUUUGCCGUCUGACUGGCCAUGUAGAUGCUGCUUUGAAGCGAGCCAGCUAGUUCUCUCCAAGAGGAAACUCUCCAGGGCUGCUGUCACAAAUGCAAUGCGUAUUCUCAUCACCGUGCUGUCUCACGGUUCUGCUGAGCUGUGAAACAUUCCUGGUAUCAUCUCAGCUAUCUUGGACCGAGGUCGCCGUUCUGCCUUAGGAUUGCCUUACAGGUCCCAGCGGGUGUGUGGUGCGGUCGAGGCCACCUCAGCUGAGAGGGGACUAGUCCUGAGCAACGCCCUCCGAUCCCGUAGGCCAAGGAGGGAAGAGAUUGUUCAAGGUUGGACUGACGAGCGUACAGCA